CAGCCGCCGCGGUAAUACGUAGGUCCCGAGCGUUGUCCGGAUUUAUUGGGCGUAAAGCGAGCGCAGGCGGUUAGAUAAGUCUGAAGUUAAAGGCUGUGGCUUAACCAUAGUACGCUUUGGAAACUGUUUAACUUGAGUGCAAGAGGGGAGAGUGGAAUUCCAUGUGUAGCGGUGAAAUGCGUAGAUAUAUGGAUGAACACCGGUGGCGAAAGCGGCUCUCUGGCUUGUAACUGACGCUGAGGCUCGAAAGCGUGGGGAGCAAACAGGAUUAGAUACCCCAGUAGUCCCUGUCUCUUAUACA
rnacentral:rRNA from 1 species